rnacentral:rRNA from 1 species
AUUGAACGCUAGCGGGAUGCCUUACACAUGCAAGUCGAACGGAGUGGCGAACGGGUGAGUAAUGUAUCGGAACGUGCCCAGUAGCGGGGGAUAACUACGCGAAAGCGUAGCUAAUACCGCCUACUAUUGGAGCGGCCGAUAUCGGAUUAGCUAGUGGGUGGGGAAACGGCUCACCAAGGCGACGAUCCGUAGCUGGUUUGGGAGGACGACCAGCCAAACUGGGACUGAGACACGGCCCAGACUCCUACGGGAGGCAGCAGGUGGGAAUUUUGGACAAUGGGGGAAACCCUGAUCCAGCCAUCCCGCGUGUGCGAUGAAGGCCUUCGGGUUGUAAAGCACUUUUGGCAGGAAAGCGGGACCUGCAGAAUAAGCACCGGCUAACUACGUGCCAGCCGCCGCGUAAUUC